GCAGCCGCGGUAAUACAGAGGGUGCGAGCGUUGUUCGGAAUCACUGGGCGUAAAGAGCUCGUAGGCGGUUUGUCGCGUCUGCUGUGAAACCCCGAGGCUCAACCUCGGGCCUGCAGUGGGUACGGGCAAACUAGAGUGCGGUAGGGGAGAUUGGAAUUCCUGGUGUAGCGGUGGAAUGCGCAGAUAUCAGGAGGAACACCGAUGGCGAAGGCAGAUCUCUGGGCCGUAACUGACGCUGAGGAGCGAAAGCAUGGGGAGCGAA
rnacentral:rRNA from 1 species